rnacentral:ncRNA from 2 species
UUGAUAGAAUUGGGAGAGACUGUAUGUGGUAUACGGCGCCGAAGGGGAUUCGCAAUAACUCUCAGGCAAAAGGACCAAUUCCGGACG